CCAAAGACAAGCAAGACGAGCAAGCCGCAAGACCAAGACGAGCAAGCCACAAGACCAAGACAAGCAAGCCGCAAGGCCAAGACAAGCAAACCGCAAGACCAAGACAAGCAAGCCGCAAGACCAAGACAAGCAAGCCGCAAGACCAAGACAAGCAAGCCGCAAGACCAAGACAAGCACGCCGCAAGACCAAGACAAGGAAGCUGCAAGAGCAUGUUAGGAGGAGCUAUAGCCUAUAGGGUGGCCCAUAAAUGCUAUAUGUUAUAAGGAAAAAGUAUUCUUGUUUCUCUAUAAAGUAAUGCAGUUUUGUUACUCAGUCAGUUUUGUUUUCUGAUGUUUAAACAUCCAUUCCAUAGGGUUCUAGCACAGGCCAAAUGACUAGUUUUUCCUUGGUGGUAAGUGUCAGUCUGGAAUAAUGUGUAAAUGUUUUUAUUAUAAAUAACACUUUUACGUCAAUCAGUUUAAGAAUAAAUGUAAGGUUAUUUAUAGUUGUCAAAUAAACACAUAAUUAUCAGGCGUGUACCCAGGAUUGGCCGAGGGGGUGCACAGUAUAGGUAUCAUAUGGAAAUAGCAUGGUAUUUGAAGAUUCCUUAAUAAGAAAUGACCCACUUUUGGCCCCCAAGCAGGGUGCACGUGCACCCCGCACACCCUCCUGUGGACGCACCUGAUUAUGUCAAUUGCAACAAUGUUACUUAUGUGCACCAUGUUACUUAUGUGUUGUUCCUAGAAUCAUCCAACAUCAACGUCAGCAACCUCAAUCACAGUGCAUCAAAUGACUAGUUCUCCUUUGGUGGAUGGCGCUAGGGUGCGGAGAUCGGGGAGUACCGAGCGGGUUCAAUAUCCUAAGUGAACGUCCCAAAAGGACCAAAAACGGGACAAAAGAGACAGACAGGCCAAACGGGACAAAAAGAUCAACAGGGACACAACACCAAUAGGCCAAUCCGAUCUUCUGUCAUGAUUUCACCCGUCUCAAACCGAGACAAAUACAAAAUCUAAAACAAAACAAAAAAUGAUUAAAAAACAUGCCUACAUUAAGACAAAACUUUCGGACGAGGUUCACUCUUAUCAAGCCACCUCGUCGAAAGCAUGGUGAAGCUUGGUGAGGCGGGUGAGGCGUUAUUACGAAGAUUGCUCAGCAAGAAGAUGUCCCAGCUUGGAGUAAACCAUUUUACAAUCGUAGUUGAACUGCUUGACCGGGGUAAAAGUCGUUUUAAAGAAUAACUUUAUGUUAUCUCUAGUGAAUUAACAUACUGCAGGAUUUGACAGCAUAUAUUCAAUAGACAUGUAAAAAAAAAAAGAAAGAGCCUUUAGUUAGAAGAGUCCUUAGAAACCCAGGCGAUAUAAUCCAUAAUCAAAAGUAUUAUAGCUUGGAGGCCUAAAUAUGUAUACCCUAUAUUCAAUAGGUACUCUAGUUUAUGUAUAGGUUUAUUUCUGUAUUAACCUUAUAAAUUUUUACGAUGAGCGUUGUUAUAAUCAAAUAGUUUAAC